rnacentral:sRNA from 1 species
AUUUUGCGUUAGGGAUAGCAGCGGUUACCCUGCAGCAUUUUGAAAAAAUGUGAAGCGUAAUAGCGAAUAGCCCGACCCGAG